UAAUGUCUGGGAAACUGCCUGAUGGAGGGGGAUAACUACUGGAAACGGUAGCUAAUACCGCAUAACGUCGCAAGACCAAAGAGGGGGACCUUCGGGCCUCUUGCCAUCGGAUGUGCCCAGAUGGGAUUAGCUAGUAGGUGUGGUAACGGCUCACCUAGGCGACGAUCCCUAGCUGGUCUGAGAGGAUGACCAGCCACACUGGAGCUGAGACACAGUCCAG
rnacentral:rRNA from 1 species